rnacentral:sRNA from 1 species
GCAAGCUUUUGGUUGGCUACAGGCAAGA